rnacentral:rRNA from 1 species
AUUGAACGCUGGCGGCAGGCUUAACACAUGCAAGUCGAGCGGAGAGAGGUAGCUUGCUACUGAUCUUAGCGGCGGACGGGUGAGUAAUGCUUAGGAAUCUGCCUAUUAGUGGGGGACAACAUUUCGAAAGGAAUGCUAAUACCGCAUACGUCCUACGGGAGAAAGCAGGGGAUCUUCGGACCUUGCGCUAAUAGAUGAGCCUAAGUCGGAUUAGCUAGUUGGUGGGGUAAAGGCCUACCAAGGCGACGAUCUGUAGCGGGUCUGAGAGGAUGAUCCGCCACUGGGACUGAGACACGGCCCAGACUCCUACGGGAGGCAGCAGUGGGGAAUAUUGGACAAUGGGCGGAAGCCUGAUCCAGCCAUGCCGCGUGUGUGAAGAAGGCCUUAUGGUUGUAAGGCACUUUAAGCGAGGAGGAGGCUACUUUAGUUAAUACCUAGAGAUAGUGGACGUUACUCGCAGAAUAAGCACCGGCUAACUCUGUGCCAGCCGCCGCCGUAAAAC